rnacentral:rRNA from 1 species
GGCUUAGAAGCAGCCACUCAUUAAAAGAGUGCGUAAUAGCUCACUGGUCGAGUGACUCUGCGCCGAAAAUUUAACGGGGCUAAACUAUACACCGAAGCUUGGGAUACAUCUAAUGUAUGGUAGGAGAGCGUUCUGUAUGGGGAGAAGUCGUAGCGAAAGCGGCGGUGGACUGUACAGAAGUGAGAAUGCCGGAAUAAGUAGCGAGAAUUAAGUGAGAAUCUUAAUGGCCGAAAGUCUAAGGUUUUUGGAGGAAGGUUCGUCCGCUCCAAGUAAGUCGGGAGCUAAGGUCAGGCCGAAAGGCGUAGCCGAUGCACAUACGGUUGAUAUUCCGUAACCAUCUGUAAUUUAAGCAAAGGGACACUUCAAAAGGGUGUGACCCGGGCGUUGGUUGACCCGGGCGUAAGGGACCGAAAUUAGAGUAGGGAAGCAUACUUAGCUGAAGGCGAGAAAAGCUUUGCGUAUAGAAACAGAUGCCCGUACCGCAAACCGACACAGGUGGACAGGAAGAGAAUUCUAAGGCCAGCGGGAGAAGGGUAGUUAAGGAACUCGGCAAAUUGACUCCGUAACUUCGGAAUAAGGAGUGCUCGAAAGAGCCGCAGAGAAUAGGCCCAGGCGACUGUUUAGCAAAAACACAGGUCUCUGCUAAAUCGAAAGAUGACGUAUAGGGGCUGACGCCUGCCCGGUGCCGGAAGGUUAAGAGGAGAGCUUAGCGCAAGCGAAGGUUCGAAUUGAAGCCCCGGUAAACGGCGGCCGUAACUAUAACGGUCCUAAGGUAGCGAAAUUCCUUGUCAGGUAAGUUCUGACCCGCACGAAUGGCGUAAUGAUUUGGGCACUGUCUCAACAGCCCGCCCGGCGAAAUUGUAGUACUGGUGAAGAUGCCAGUUACCCGCAACUAGACGGAAAGACCCCAUGGAGCUUUACUGCAGCUUAAUACUGAAAUUCGGUAGUACAUGUACAGGAUAGGUGGGAGACUGAGAAAUACAGGCGUCAGCUUGUAUGGAGUCGCUGUUGGGAUACCACUCUUGUACUGCUGGGUUUCUAACCUGCGGCCGUGAAUCCGGUCGGGGGACACUGUUAGGCGGGCAGUUUGACUGGGGCGGUCGCCUCCAAAAGAGUAACGGAGGCGCUCAAAGGUUCGUUCAGCACGGACGGAAAUCGUGCAAUGAGUGUAAACGCAUAAACGAGCCUAACUGCGACACCGACGGGUGGAGCAGUAACGAAAGUUGGAGUUAGUGAUCCGGUGGUAUGUGAGUGGAAAUGCCAUCGCUCAACGGAUAAAAGCUACCCUGGGGAUAACAGGCUGAUCUCCCCCAAGCGUCCACAGCGACGGGGAGGUUUGGCACCUCGAUGUCGGCUCGUC